AAGCCCCUUGGGUGUAAAAGCUCUUCCGCCGGGGAAGAAAAUGACUGUACCCGAAUAGGAAGGUCCGGCUAACUUCGUGCCAGCAGCCGCGGUAAUACGAAGGGACCUAGCGUAGUUCGGAAUUACUGGGCUUAAAGAGUUCGUAGGUGGUUAAAAUAGUUGGUGGUGAAAUCCCAGAGCUUAACUCUGGAACUGCCAUCAAGACUUUUUAGCUAGAGUAUGAUAGAGGAAAGCAGAAUUUCUAGUGUAGAGGUGAAAUUCGUAGAUAUUAGAAAGAAUACCAAUUGCGAAGGCAGCUUUCUGGAUCAUUACUGACACUGAGGAACGAAAGCAUGGGUAGCGAAGAGGAUUAGAUACCCUCGUAGUCCAUGCCGUAAACGAUGUGUGCUAGACGUUGGAGAUUUUAUUUUCAGUGUCGCAGCAAAAGCAUUAAGCACACCGCCUGGGGAGUACGACCGCAAGGUUAAAACUCAAAUGAAUUGACGGGGACCCGCACAAGUAGUGGAGCAUGUGGUUUAAUUCGAAGAUACGCGCAGAACCUUACCAACACUUGACAUGUUCGUCGCGACUUUAAGAGAUUAAAGUUUUCGGUUCGGCCGGACGAAACACAGGUGCUGCAUGGCUGUCGUCAGCUCGUGUCGUGAGAUGUUGGGUUAAGUCCCGCAACGAGCGCAACCCUCACUUUUAGUUGCCAUCAUUUAGUUGGGCACUCUAAAAGAACUGCCAGUGAUAAGCUGGAGGAAGGUGGGGAUGACGUCAAGUCCUCAUGGCCCUUACGUGUUGGGCUACACACGUGCUACAAUGGCAUUUACAGUAGGAAGCAAGAAGGCGACUUUUAGCAAAUCCUAAAAAGAUGUCUCAGUUCGGAUUGUACUCUGCAACUCGAGUACAUGAAGCUGGAAUUACUAGUAAUCGCGGAUCAGCGCGCCGCGGUGAAUACGUUCCCGGGUCUUGUACACACCGCCCGUCACACCAUGGGAGUUGGUUCUACCUUAAGGCAAAGCAUAAAACCUUGACC
rnacentral:rRNA from 1 species